CCGGGUGCCCCUCGGGGGCCUGGCUGGGACAGGAGGGCGCCGGCUCUCACCGGCGCAUCUCACGCCCAAAUUGCUUCAACAGGAGGAUUUGGAAAUGAGAA
rnacentral:sRNA from 1 species